AUUGAACGCUGGCGGCGGGCCUAACACAUGCAAGUCGAACGGUAACAGGAAGAAGCUUGCUUCUUUGCUUACGAGUGGCGGACGGGUGAGUAAUGUCUGUAAAACUGCCUUAUGGAGGGGGAAAACUAGUGGAAACGGUAGCUAAUACCGCAUAACGUCUCAAGACCAAAAAGCGGUACCUUAGGGCGUCUUUCCAUCGGCUUUUCCCAGGUGGGAUUAGCUAGUAGGUAGGGUAACGGCUCACCUAGGCGACGAUCCCUAGCUGGUCUGAGAGGAUGAUCAGCCACACUGGAACUGAGACACGGUCCAGACUCCUACGGGAGGCAGCAGUGGGGAAUCUUGCACAAUGGGCGCAAGCCUGAUGGAGCCAUGCCGCGUGUAUGAAGAAGGCCUUCGGGUUGUAAAGUACUUUCAGCGGGGAGGAAGGGAGUAAAGUUAAUACCUUCGCUCAUUGACGUUACCCGAAGAAGAAGCCCCGGCUAACUCCGUG
rnacentral:rRNA from 1 species